UUAUGUUUGGAUGAACUGACAUACUUGUUCCACUCUAGCAGCACGUAAAUAUUGGCGUAGUGAAAUAAUGUAUUAAACACCAAUAUUACUGUGCUGCUUCAGUGUGACAGGGAUAUAGCAACUAUUUUAUCCAUUGUUU
rnacentral:miRNA from 1 species